AGGAGGAGGACAGACGGAGACCUGCGGACUGCCAUGUCACCCACAGACCCGCUCUCCAGCUCACAGUACAGACAGGCCACAGGCACCAGCUUGCUGCCACACACUGCCUGGAUGGAGGCCGUCACCCAGGGGCCUGCCAGCCACGUGCUCAGCCUGCAGCAGGAGCCACCGCAACAUGUUCCUGGGUGGUUUGCACAACAGUGUCAAUGCUGAUGUUUCUUAUCACACCAAUCAGAAGAAGAUGCUUGGGUUACUAAGAGCCAUGGAGGGUGACUCGUGCAGAAUGACGAGUGGGAUGUGCUUUGAUCUGCUUCCAGCACACUCGGCGACUUCACAACACAGAACAGUAAUUCUGUACUCCUUUAGCCCUCUACUGUGUGUCUGAAUUAUCAGCUACAUUUUCAUAGGAGGAAGAGGGAGUGUGGAAAUCAUGCAUUGUGAAUUACAAAAACGCUUUGAAAUUUUUCUUUAAAUUAUAUUUUGGAUAUUAGUCAUUUCAGUGAUGGAAAUAUGUAAAAACCAGUAAACAAGACCUGCCUAUUGCUGCAUAGUUAAUAGAAUGGAUUUGGUUUUAUCACACAAAGCUCCUAAUCAUCCAGGGCUUAACCAAAGCAGUCCAUGUGAGUGUGGACUUAUAGCUCUCUCCUGGAGCACAGAGAUCUAACCAGUGACGAAACCGCUACAGACAAUGACCGUCUCUCAGCAGCCAUCAACAGCAGCCUUCCUUAGGGGGGACAUGAACCCUCCGUCCGUGACCGAAUGUUGACAGGCUCAGCCUGCUACUGGCCUAGUGCAAGCAACCAUAGAUGCCGCGGAUUCAUGAUGGCAACAUCCAUGUCGUGCCCAGAAAGUAUCCUUCCUCUCCAUCACAACCCUCCUCCCUGUUAUAGCCCUGAUAUCAUUUCUACCCCUUUUUUUCCUUAGCCUUAGCGGAGAUGUCCCUUUUAGGACUGAGCACUCAACACCGACUAGUUCUCAGCAUCUUGAGCAGCCAUGAGUCUCUGUAUUCACGGUCAUUUACAGUAAAAGGAGACUUCUCUGAUUAAAGUUGACAGUGGUACUUGUUUAUGUGUGUAGACAUAGAUAUUUAGAAAAAGUUGACACCAUGUCCAUUUGGCAAUCUAGCAAUACUAGAUUCCACCCAGGACCUCACUAGGCAUGCACUUUUGACUACGUCAGGCAUAGUCGGGCCUGAAUUGCCUCCUUUAGGCUGGGCCUCAAGUCCAGUCAGAAGGCAGUUGUUUCCUCCAUGACUGUCAUGGCACUAUUACAGUAAUGGGCAUAUCUUGUCCAGAGAGCUGGUGUCAUGGCCUGCAAGGGGCACUUCUAGGUAAGACUGUCGAUGACUUUUCUUCCAGAGCUUCUUUCAUAGCACCAUCAGGCAUUUUGAAAGCUGUGCCAAAGGGAGGAAACAGCUAGCUCAAUUCCAGCUUGACUUCUUUAUGUCCUGAAUCCGAACUCUCACCCUCCUAGUUCUGACGGACAUCUAAGAGCAAGGGCAAUAGUCUUUGUGGUUUGGAGCGUCCUCAAACAACUAAUAGGGGUGCAUCCCACAUCUGACACUGGGAUUUUUCACUUGAUCUCCAAUGUCCUUUGUUUUCAAUUAUCCUGACCCUUGACCAUGAAACAGAACAAAACUUUCUGCAAUGUGCCUUUUUAUAUACUGUACUCUCUAUAGUAAAUGAUUUUUCAGU